UGCAUCACGUUUGAUCUCCCUA
rnacentral:miRNA from 13 species